rnacentral:rRNA from 1 species
GCCCUAUAUAAAAUAUGAGGUGAAACCUGCCCAAUGGUUUCAAAUUAAAAAUAAAUAAAAUUUAUUUAAUGAAAUUAAAAGGACGCGGUAACCUUGACCGUAAUAAUGUAGCAUAAUCAUUCGCCAUUUAAUUGAUGGAUAGUAUGAAUGGUUUAACGAAUAUUCCACUGUCUUAAAAAGAAAUAAACAAAAAAUUGAAACAAUAGUUAAGAUGCUAUUUAAAAUUAUAAGACGAAAAGACCCUGUAGAGCUUAACUAUAGUCUUUCUUAAUUUUAAAAUUCUUAUAGAAAGAUUGGUAGUUUAGUUGGGGCGACUAUCUUCUAAAAAAAACGAAGAUAAACAAAGUUAAUUAUAUAACUUAUUGUAUAAUGAAUUUAUUUAACAAUUACUAAAGUAGGUAAUAAUGACCCGUUAAACUCUUAUAAAAGAGAUAACGAUCAAUAAAUAAAAGCUACCUCAGGGAUAACAGGAUAAUUUCAUCUUAGAGACCUAAUCAAAGAUGAAGUUUGUCACCUCUAUGUUGAAUUAAGAUAUCCUGAUAAUGCAGAAGUUAUCAAAGGUAGGUCUGUUCGACCUUUAAAAUCUU